CUCGGGCUCCCAAGCCCAUCCCCCGCCCCAGGGCGCCCCCCGAGAGGGGGCCACCGCGCCCAGCGCCCGGCUUGCCAGCAGUACGGGGCGAAAAGAAUUGAUUAUUGAUUGGGUGAUUGGGGUCGCUGAGGCGCCGAGCGGGCCAGACCGGCGGGCCGCGGAGAGGAGGAGCUGGCAGGGCUGCGUUGGCGGCGGGGCGACGCGGGCUCACUUACGAGCGGCCGCGAGGGCGCGGGUGGGCCGGAGCUCAUUGGGACGACCCCCGGGCGGCGGCGGCUGAGCGAGAGCCUGAGCCCGAGCGGCGCGGGCGGCGGCGCAUCGAUGCGCUGCGGGUUCGAUUGCGUCUCCCUGGGCCAGCUCUUGGGCCGGGAAUGGGGCGGCCGCGGCGGGUCUGGCUCCGGGCGCUGCCGGGCGGCGGUGGUGGGGGGUGCGGGGGCGGCCGCCAGGCCCAAGGUCCCCGAAGUGGCGCUGCUCCUGGGCGCGCCGCUUGGGGCCCGGAGGCUCCCCUGGGCCCCGCGUCCGAUAGUCCCGGCGAGGGCCGGAGCCCCGCGCCCCUGGGACUGCCUGCCUGAGCGUUCCCGGAGCUGCAAACCCCGGCCUUCUUCCUUCCUUUUUUUCCUUCCUUCCUUCCUUCCUUCUUUCCUUCCUUCCUUUUUCUUAACGUUUCCUUUUCUUGUGUUUCUUUCUCCCUUUUCUUCUGCCCUCUCUUUUUUAUCUUUUUCUUUGUGAUUGUUUAUGCAAGUUUGUUUUAAAAGUUCACCGGCAUGCUUUCUUUUCUUUUAGACCAGGAGACCGUGAUCUCACCCAGACGGUAAGAUCAAAAGUCUCCGCUCGCCCCCAGCCUGCGGGCUUGGGCUCGGUCCAGACGCCUCCCUGAAUGCAGAUGUGCUGCUGCCGUCCUCCCGGGCUAUAAAGCCGCCUCCAGCGCCUUCGCGCGCGCAGGAGCGCUCGGAGUUGCGGGGUGCGGACCCCGGGCGGUUGCGGGGAAUCGGAGUCCGGCUGCGACUGGGCUCCCAGGCGGGCCUUGUGUGUGGCGAACUCGGGGGCGGGGGCGCGGCGAGCGGUUGGUGCCUGCGGCCGCGGAGGCUAAAACAACUGCCCCUCCAGGCCGGGGAGACUCGGCCGUGGGGCGUGAAACGCUUCUUGCGAACGAGGAAACGCUGAGACCUACACCCCAGAUCAGGGAAACAAGAAAAUGCAUCGCGUUCCAGUAAGCUCUUGAACAUCUCAGAAGAUGACUACCUCGCCAGGGUUCAGGCGGAAAGACGACUUGGUGCCUGGCAGCCCAGGUCUACGAGAAGAAGGGUCAAGUUGAGAACAGCAGAGGGACCAUUUUUGCCUUUAUCCUGUGACGUGACACUAUUCCACAACGUCUACCUCUGGAUAAGUAUCCACUAGAACAACACUGCUCAAGGAGUCCCAUGGAAGGAUGUUUAUGGUGGAAUGAACCAAACUGCCCAUCGCCAGGGAAAGGGGUAAGUAAUAGUGAGGUAAGUCAGAUGUCCAGUUCACCUCCGAGAAGCAAAGAAGCAUCUGAGCCAUGUUUACGUAGAGAACAACAGCAGGAGUGACCAGCCUUGGCUCCUAGGCCGUACACAGCAUAGGAGGCUGACAGGGUAGAGGUCAGCUAGACACAUGUCCCUGUACCCGCAGCAGCCUUGGGAUCCCUUUCUUUUAGUGUUCGCUGACCACAUUCCCUAGGGAGCCCGUCUUGGAGUUGAUUCUCAGGAAGGGCCGCCGGUAGCUUUCCUGCUGGAUGCUGCUUGAGCUCAAGUUCACAGAGACAGAGAUGUGGGGUGAGCAGGGGGCAGAAUUACAGUACCCCCAUCACUCAACCCUUUGACGCCUUCUGGGCAGGUUCCUACUAUCUCUGGUGCUUUAGAGCAGACGUGAACAGGGGAAGAAAGUUGUCCGGGAACCCCUGGUCUCCUUGUCCAUGGUGCUGGAUGGUGAGUCUCUCCAUAUCAAUACCUCCUUGGCACCACAAGUCAGUGGCCAAUAAAUUGCUCAGAGGGAUUUCUUCCCCAUCCUCUGGGUCUUUCCAGACUCUGAGAACUUUCUAGGCAGAGAGCCUUCCCACAAAUGCCUCCGGUGCUAUUUCUGUUGUGUGGACUGCUCAGAACUUUCUUGUUCACUGCUACGUUAAAAAUGGCGGCCUGUCAUCUCUGGGUGUCGUAGGCCCUCCAGGCCUCCCCACUGCUGGCUAGUUCUCUCCCUGGUCUCUCCUCCAGGCUCAGCCCUGCAACCAGCUCCUGGGACUCUCAGGCAUGAUCUGUUUUAUCUUCACUGGGGAAAAACCUCCAUGUCCUUUCUCAAGGCCAAGAUGAGAGGUCUUGGGACAGCUGGCACAUUCUUGAGGCAGUCCUGUGAGAUCUGGGGCUGGGGGUGCAGAGGUGGAUGCUGGUAGUUUCUGUGUCCUUCCAUGACCUUUCUUGUGCCCAUCGCCCCUUCCCUUAAUUCUCACCACCCUCCUCUGUGUUGUGCCAAGCCCUUGAACAGGCUUUCUCUCCACCAGCAGCGCCCCCUUCCGGCCGAUCUCUGCACAGCAGUCAGGAGCGCCGCUUGCAGGGAGACACUAAUACAGAGUGCCCUUGACUGUCCUUGUGAAUUAUUAAAUACUUACUGAACAUAGGAUACAGAGCGGGUCAUAGGAUACAAACGCUGGCAUGCACACCUUUAACUGCUGUGCUGUUCAUCCUGUGGGCGUCAGGGAGAGGUCAGAUAUGAGAGUGGUCUUUGGAGAAAGAACGCCCAGGCCAGAGUCAUGCAGGGGAGGACACUCUGUAGUCCAGGCAGCUUGAGUGGCCCAGAAUCAACACGUCUCGGUGAAUUCAGUUCCCACCUCACCUACGUAUCAUCCCGAGGCGGUCGAGUGGAUGUCCCAAGUAGCUGAGCCUAGAUUGAACCCAGGUUUCUAUUUCCUCCUGUGCGUUAUAAUCAUGUCUGUCUUGCCGUCUCAUGGGACCUCUGAGGGUGCAGCAGAGUCAUGCACAAGGAAGGGUUUUGUGACUACAGAGGCCACCCCUGUGCAGAUGUGUUCCUCUGUAGCCCCUUCUCCAGGCUCAUUGGUCAAGUCAUCUGAUCGGCAGAGAUUUACUGAGAACCCAUCACGUGCCGCGGAUUCUUCUAGACUUGAGGGAUGCAAAGAAGGACAUGAUCUAGUCUUCCAGCGGCUUCUAGCCUAGCAGGAGAGGAUAGAAAUAGAAAUCCAAGAGCACAGAGUGGUCGGUGUUCUCCGGGGCAGAGAGGAAAGGCGCUCUAGGCAUAUAACCCGUCAUUUAGCUUGCGGGGGGUGCGGGCAGGGGGGGAGGCUCCUUGGCUGACCCCAUGCCAGUCCGAGUGAGCAACAGGUACAAAAGUGUGAAGGAGUAUGGUGCCCUCUAUGGGAGAGGAGUUCAAGGAAGAGUCGUGCGGUGUAGCCGACGUGGUAGGUGCCCCACCCGUAUCAUACCUGCGCCCUGAUGGACACUCACAAGUGGCUGGUUCCUAGUGCAAGCUCCUCGGGCCACAGAAGCCUGCCUGCCAGUGAGGCAGCCCAGAACCCAGGAAGGUAACGCCCCUGGGGGCAUCCCUUGCCUGAUAAUAGCUCCCGCCACCCUGGGGGGUCGGGAGACCAAUCUGGUCUCUUCUGCACAGUGUCCCAGUGAGUCUCAGCAGACCUGCGUCUGGUUGCCCACAACAGUAACCUACUCCCGAUGCCUCCUGAAUUACCUGCCUUUCCUUUCCUCUCUCCCUUUCUUGCUCUCCCACUGAUGUCUUCUGGGGUUACUUGCCAAAUAAAUGUGAACACUAGUAUCCUUGUCUAAGGGCUGGCUUCCAGAAGAACCCAACUCAGGUUGGGACAAGCCAGACUGGGAAAAAGCUACCUGUUCCCCAGCUCACCCCUUACAUGCGUUUCAAUGGGCUGUCCCAUUCAGGAGAAACUUCUGCAUUUCCAUGGGUUAAUGUGUUUAGCCUGUUUCCGCUCUACCUGCUGACGGGUCAAUGGCACAAACGCCAACCGCCCUCCGGCCUGGUAGACCCUGCCCCUCCCUCCCCUUCUUCCAGUCUCCCCAUCAGACCCACACCCCUUGUUUACCAAAUGUUCAAUUUUGGUUAUGUUACUAUAAAAAUCAAGCAGCUGGCAAUUCCAGCUUGAUUAGCAGGUCUCCAGUUUUGAUUAGUAAAUUACUGCGGUAAUCAAGGUUAAUUCUCACUGCAGUGCUCAGCAAUGGAUUUCAUAUUUUGCAGGGAAAUGGUUUUCCUGCCUGGGACGGAGAACAUUUCAUUAAAGGAACCCAGAGAUGCGACAGGAGGGAAGGGAACCCUGGCAGGACUGAGAAUGUUUCCUGGCAGCUCCAAGGUGCCACCCAGUGUUUGCUUCCUGUUUGCCGAUGAGCCGUGAGCCAAAGCAAGCAACGUGGCCAAGCCCAGAGUCAAUAUGGGAGAGCCUGGACACUGGGUAAUAUGACUCACUGCAGCCAUUGAUGGAACAAGUUAGCACACAUGCCUUUCUUAUCCCCCCGGUGAUGUUGAUGUUGACGACUGGCUUGGAAGAGAAGUGCCUUUACCGUGACACGUGAGCACUUCGUUGCACUCCGGGAUGAAACUCUGUCCCUAAGUUACCAUGUUACCUAUGACUCAGUUAAACUCCUUUGGCCACCUCAGUACCCAAAUGGCUGUUACUUCCUGUGUGCUUCCGAGUUUUCUCUGUCCAAGCUCGUCAGCAAUUUUUACCAUGUCUGCAUCUCCACGUUUGUGGCUCUUCGUCUCUCACCUCCUGGGGCCAUUGGAUUCUUCCUCUUCUUCUCCCCAUUCCUUUGGCUUGGCUAAAACACCCGCAGGAUGGAAGGGGCAGAGGGAAAGGAACUGGGACUGGGAAAGAGGAUACUUCAGAGUCAAUGGAGAAUUCAAGGAUCAGACCCUUCUCGGUGGGCCGUUAGAUAUUAGGAAAAGUAGUUCUCCUGAAUUGGGUUUUCCCCAGACGAAAUUGUACAAACUUUCUUAGCAUCAUGCAGAUUGUCCUUUGUAGAUGCCUGUCACCAGAGAAAAAUGCCAUUGUGUGGUGUCGUGCUGAUGCCACGCUGAGACUGGUAACCCUAUCAGCCUGCCGCGAGACUACGGAGUCAGAACCCAAGCACGAUGACUUUUGGCAUCGUCUUCCGGCUAGUGACUGCAGGAACAUAAACUCCCUGGGGACACGCAGGGGCUCUUUUGGUCUUGUUGAUGGCUAUAUCCACACGGGCCGGCAUGGGGGCAGAACCCAGAAGGCAUCCAACACCUGAAUGGACACAUCUCUUGAGAGGAAGACUCAGAAAUGACAAGUUUUCAUCUCGAUGUGACUCCAGCUUUCUGGCACGUCUUGGUCCAAAGAACCUCUGCACGUCUCUCCAGAGACAGGCCUGGAACUUGCACCUGUGACGGCCACAUCACUUUGCCCGUGGCUUUCCCCGGCUGUCUAUCCUGGGACAAUGAAUCAAGGGUGUUUGGCAAAUGAAGAUUUUUUUUUUAAGUUUAUUUUUUUUACUUUGAAAGAGAGAGAGAGAGAGAGCGAGAGAGCAGAGGGGCAGAGAGAGAGAAGGAGAGAGGGAGAAUCCCAAGC